AAUCAGUAGUGUAAGAAAUUUGCAGCCGUAAAUUGCUGCUUUCAUAUUGAGAUAAAAAUUGAGUUAUACUUAACUAAUGCUUAUAGAUUCGAGUGAAGAAAAUAAACCUUAAAAAGCAUGUCUUUGGUGUUCUCGUUCAUCGUUCUUGUUGCAUCGAACAACUAUAGUGGAUACACGAAGAACCACAAGUAAGAACAACAAUGGCCAAUCCUUGCAAUCUGAGAUUUCAAUGGAGUCUUUGAGGCUUAGAAUGUGAAAUCAGAGAUUAUGUCGAUCAUGACCCUUAUCGCACCUUUUAUUUGAGUCUUAAACCUUUCUCUAUGAGACGGGAAUGCCAUGACUUCGUCGAGGCCUUAAGUCGUCACUACGGUUGUUACCGUAACCACCGCCAGGUCACUAUUGCACACCAUAAUCAUGGUUGCGAUGCCAUAGCAACAACAACAACAUCAAGAAUAACCAUCGAUGACGUAAUCCCACCUAGUUCGGUCGACUUUCAUGGAAUAAGCGUUGUCAGUUCUGCAGCCACCUCCCUAACGACAACCAUAUGUUCAACCGCCUUCAACCAAUAUACACUACCUAUCAUAGACGAUCUCAUUUGAAUCAAUUUGGUUUCUUGGGCCCGUUGUGUAACAACUCGUCCCGAAUUAGUUUACGAAUUUUGGAACGAAGGCAGUUUGGUCUUUUUCAUGCAUGAAAGAUAUUUUGAAAUGUUACUUUAGGUAUUAAAUGGUGAGCCGGGUAGGGCCCACUCUAUUUUUGGUCCCCUGGCCUCCCUUCUCCCUUGUUUACCACAUGUCACUUCCCAAUCCCCUUAAAUACCUAGGAUAUCUCUCUAUCUCUCAUCUAUUUCCCUUUCGUCCCUACUCUAUGCUCUCUCCUCUUCGGUGACCAACACUUACAUACAUACCUACAACAAUAACAACGAACACCACCCCUAUUAGAACUUCCCCAUGCCAGAACCCCAGAGUUGUCGACGUCUUCUUCAGUGCACAGUGGCUGCCAUUGUUCACGGUUCCUCCCCGAUGGUUUCCAAGAGUUCUUGUUGGAUUUCACUUAGGUAAGUCUCGAAAACCACCUAGAUCUUAGUAGAAUGUGUCUAAGAGUGAGUUUGGGAUGUUUUUUAGUAGUUUUGGUGGCUGUUAGACGCAUAACCAGCUCGGGGACACUUCCCCAUAUUUUGGUGAGGAAUGACAUGACCUCCAGGCCAUUUCUUAGCCACCACAAGUCUUGAAAUUGGUACGAAUCUCUUUCUCUCAUUCUAAGCUUCAUUUUGGCUUUUGAAACAUUGAAAAUGAAGAAAUGAGCUCAAACGGAGCUCGGGAAAGGUUGCCCAGAUUUCGGUCGAACCCAUG
rnacentral:lncRNA from 1 species